CUCAAAUGAUUUCUCUUCAGAUCGUAAAAAUCUUUCGCCUUUUACUAAAGAUUUCCGUGGAGAGGAACAACCAAGAGGUUGAUGGAAGCUCUCUUGAGAGCA
rnacentral:snRNA from 1 species